AACGCUAGCGGCAGGCUUAAUACAUGCAAGUUGAGGGGCAGCAUGAUAUACGCAAGUAUAUUGAUGGCGACCGGCGGACGGGUGAGUAAAAGGUAGGAGACCUACCUCAUACAGGGGGAUAGCAUAGAGAAAUCUGUGGUAAUACCCCAUGAGGUUAUAUGAAUAGAGGCAUAUAAUCAAAGUAUACGAGAGUAUGCGGUAUGAGAUGGGCCUACUGACCAUUAGCUAGUUGGUGAGGUAAGGGCUCACCAAGGCGAAGAUGGUUAGGGGUUUUGAGAGAGAGAUCCCCCACAUUGGAACUGAGAUACGGUCCAGACUCCUACGGGAGGCAGCAGUGGGGAAUUUUGGACAAUGGGCGCAAGCCUGAUCCAGCCAUGCCGCGUGAGUGAAGAAGGCCUUCGGGUUGUAAAGCUCUUUCGGCCGGGAAGAAAUCGCAUGGGUCAAUACCCUGUGUGGAUGACGGUACCGGAAUAAGAAGCACCGGCUAACUACGUG
rnacentral:rRNA from 1 species